AGUGAACGCUGGCGGUAGGCCUAACACAUGCAAGUCGAACGGCAGCACAGUAAGAGCUUGCUCUUACGGGCGGCGAGUGGCGGACGGGGGAGGAAUACACCGGAAUCUACUUUUUCGUGGGGGCUAAUGUAGGGAAACUUACGCUAAUACCGCAUACGACCUACGGGUGUAAGCAGGGGAUCUUUGGACCUUGUGCGAUUGAAUGAGCCGAUGUCGGAUUCGCUAGUUGGCGGGGUAAAGGCGCACCACGGCGACGAUCCGUAACUGGUAUGAGAGGGUGAUCCGCCAGAUUGGAAGUGAGGCACGUUACAGACACCGACGGUGAGAAGCAGUGGGGAAUAUUGGACGAUGGGCGCAAGGCGGAUCCAGCCCAACCGCGUGGAUGAUGAAGGACUUAUGCUUGUAGAGUCAUGUUGUUGGGAAAGAAAAACAGCAGUUUAAUCCCCCGCUGUUAUGACGGUACCCAAAGAAUAAGCACCGGCUAACUUCGUG
rnacentral:rRNA from 1 species